rnacentral:rRNA from 1 species
UCCCCCUUUUUUUUUAAAAACAUGGUUUUUUGGAUUUUAAUAGAAAAUUAGGCCUGCCCGCUGAAAUAAUUUGAAGGGCUGCAGUAUUAUGACUGUACGAAGGUAGCAUAAUCAUUAGUCCCUUAAUUAGGGACGGGUAUGAAAGGUUUUACGGGGACAUACUGUCUCAGUUAUAUAAGUGAAAUUUACUUCUUUGUGAAAAGGCAAAGAUGGGUUAAAAGGACAAGAAGACCCUAUUAAAUUUUAUUUUGAUAUGAUUAUUAGUUUGUAUUUAUAAAUAGAGUAGUUGUAACAAAAUUUGGUUGGGGCGAUUUAAGAUUAGCAUGUUAAUGUUGUGAUUUAGAUGUAAAGAGAAGAUGGGAUCCAAAAGGGUUGAUAGUAAGAUAAAAUUACUGUAGGGAUAACAGCGUAAUGUUUUUUUAGAGUUCUUAUUGACAAAAACGUUUGCGACCUCGAUGUUGGAUUAAGGAGUCUUUUGGGUGUAGAAGCUUAUAAAGGAAGGUCUGUUCGCCGUUUCUA